CACACACACACACACACACACACACACACACACACACACACACACACACACAGAGCAUCCCAAUUUAUCUCUGAUCAAAGCCAGUUUCGUUAUGGUGAGAUUGAUUCUUUUUUUUUUUUAAACGAAUGCUUUAGAUGUGUCUUUCUUUCUAGAGAUUAAAUAUAUAAUUUGUAUGAAUAUAAAUAACAAGGAUGAAAUGCUAUGUUGCAUGGGUGAGUUUUGGUCAAAACUGACAGCACAAGCAGCAAAAUCAACGCAAUCUCUAUAGAAAACGCCACACCUGACCAUUACUGUAAUUUGAAUGCAGUUGGAAAUAGCAAAUAUUGGCAAUAUUUUCUAGCUGGAAGGGAUACGAUUGAAAAUAGUAUGAGUGGAUACAAAUGAUUGUCCUCUCUUUACCACUAUAGGCUGACCGUGUAUUUGUGAUACGUAAUGAGGAUAGUCCAUGUUGACCACAAUAUGGAAGGCUGGUGAUUUAGAUAAGCCUACUCAUGAUCUACUUCUAAUAUGAAGUCUAACGUGUCAGACAGAAAUAUGCAUUAUGCAUUUGAUAAUUGAUUGACGGACCACAUUAAGAUUAUAAUGGCUUUGUCUUCGGAAAUAUAGAUUUGAAAUACAGGCCUAUAUGAUUUUUUCUAUAUGCUAAAUGUUAACAGUUUCUUCUCUAUCAUCACAUUCCUCCAUCUUAGGUAUAUGAUACUGGAAUAUAUUUUACAUUUUAGUCAUUUAGCAGACGCUCUUAUCCAGAGUGACUUACAGGAGCAGUUAUGUUAACUGCCUUGCUCAAGGGCACAUCGCCAGAUUUUGCACCUAGGCGGCUCGGGGAUUCGAACCAGCGACUUUUCGGUUAGGCCUACUGGCCCAACGCUCUUAGCCGCUAUUGGCUACAUGCCACCACACGUAUUCAAUGGCUGUCCAUUUUGACAGCUAUCCGUGGCAAUUCAAAUGACAAAUAGGUAGCCUAAUUGCUUUUGUCUCCAAAAAAUGUGUAAAUUCAAAUAGCUCUCAUUUUUCUAAAUCUUGCUAAAGACCUUGUUCGGCCUGUAGCUCAACACUAAGUUGUAAAUAUGUAUUAUUAGUGUGAUUGGAAAUUGGAACCGCACCUUAUGCCUAUCUAGGUCACAUAUAGCUGCCAUUCCUCAGUGUACAUAUUGGUCCAAGUGCGUCACACUAUAGCCUACAAAUUCGCAAAAUGUGGUUUGGUUUUAAAGUGGCGAAAGCAAUAAUUGAUGUGCACUAAUCUUAGAAUGUUGUAGCCUAUGCAUGCAACCCCAUGUGUGUUUGUCAAGACAAACUACUUGUAGGUCCAUGACAGCAUGCAGCCUCUUCGGAGGGAAAAAUCUUUACGUGUGCCCGUCUGACCACUUCUAUUGGGUGACACAUCAGACGAGCAGUUUGGGAGCAAGGUUCACUUGUGGAGGAGGCAGAGUUACACGAGUAGGGAGUACAGCGUCUCCAACCGGCUCGCACAAUCAAUUGGGCUGGAAAAUUGGCGUCGACUUGAUUGAGAGCGCGUGCAUAGCCUGCCAGGAAGAUUUAAAUGGUGAUGUAAAAUAUAAGGGGUUGGAGAAAUAUGGCCCUGAUUCCCCUUGCUCAGGAGAGAGACCAAAUGGACAUGUCUGUCUGGGACUUUGCCUACUGCUGAACCAACAUGAGCUCAGGUGAGAGAGGAGUCAUCAGGAGCCAGACAGAGAGAACCAGGAUAACGGCUGACGUGGCCAUGUGUUAAGGAUGGCCCACAGAUCGCAGAGAUGGAGCAUCUAUCUGUGUGACCCUUUACUGUUGUCUCUAGUGGAGCUCGAGACAUGGACUUCCAUCACCACCUGAACAUCAACAUGCACAACCGUCAAGAUACAGUAUGCUGAGAAGACAGAUACAGAACUCUGCUAUUUAUCAUCAGCAUGCAUACAUCUGUUCUAGAUACACAGAAACCACCAAAUAUACACUAACAUCCUUUGAAUCAAGUCAGUGUUUUGUAUCAUUGUGAUUUAAAUCUUGUUUGUUGUAAAACUGUUUACCAUAUGUCUACUCACUGGGAUGUAAAAGUACAACAUUAUUUAUUCUGAAUUGUAAAAGUCUGUAUUGGACCUGGCAUAUUGGUAUAUUGGAUUUUGAAUGAACCUGCCCUUAGAAUACAGCAUGACAUCAGAAGGGAACCCGCAGAGCACAUUGUCUUUAUCUGACAUUGACUGAAUUUAUAGAAAAAGUAAACCUCAAUGGGAAUAUUUUUCUACUUUCUCAAAUCACUGAAUUUCCUCAAUGAACGGAAUAAAGUAUAUUCAAGAAUAUCUUGUUUCUGACUUUUUUACAGUAUGUCUACAGUAGACCUACUGUAUAUACCUUUGACAUGAUUAGAUCCUCUGUGGGAUCAAUGUGGAAUGGGUGCUGAUUAAAAUAAAACAACAUGGCUGACAUGGCUGUAGCAGUUCCUGAUUGACCCUGAUAUUUCUCAGAAUGAAACAUACAGUUUGCAUACAGUACAAAUAAACGACAUACAUGUUACAUUUACCUUGUCAAUGUGUUACCAUAUUAUGUCAAAUUAGAUACAACUGUAAAAUCUAAAAUGGAAAAGAUACUAGCUAUGGUCACUACCUGAAGCACCUUGACAACCAGGGCAAGCUUUGUAGCCUUCUACACAUUUUGUGUUUGUGUUUGCUAGCAGAAUGCAUCUUCUACUUUUUUCCUUCUCUGUCACAAUGUUUGCCUUAAUUUUGUUGUUUUGUUCUACAUGAAGAAGGUUCAAAGUUUUCAUUCCCACUUCCUCUGUUACCUGCCUGUCACUUUCCUUCUCCUGACAAACAAUAUCUCUCCUCACCUGUCUCCCAACCCCCACUUCCUCUGUUUCCGGCCUGUCUCACUUCUUCUCCUGACAAAAUGUUUCUCUCCUCACUUUUCUCCCUUCCCUCUGUCUCACUCAUCAUAUAUCCUUCUCCUCCACUCUCUCUACUUUUUCUCUCUCCUUCUCAAUCCCAUUAAACCUUUCCCUCCCUCCCUCCCUCCCUCCC
rnacentral:lncRNA from 1 species